UACGUAGGGUGCGAGCGUUAAUCGGAAUUACUGGGCGUAAAGCGUGCGCAGGCGGUGAUGUAAGACCGAUGUGAAAUCCCCGGGCUUAACCUGGGAACUGCAUUGGUGACUGCAUCGCUCGAGUAUGGCAGAGGGGGGUAGAAUUCCACGUGUAGCAGUGAAAUGCGUAGAGAUGUGGAGGAAUACCGGUGGCGAAGGCGGCGUUCUGGACCAUUACUGACACUGAACCGCGAAAGCUAGGGGAGCAAACGGG
rnacentral:rRNA from 1 species